rnacentral:rRNA from 1 species
AUGGCAGCCGACAAGCAGCGCCGCGUGAAGCUGAUGGUUAGCUACGGCGGGAGCAUCGAGCGCGCCGAGGGUCGGCCGCCGAGGUACGUCGGCGGCGAGCACCUGCUCCUCAACGUCCUCUCGUCCGUCUCGACGAAGGGCUUCCGCGACCUGCUGGCGGCGCGCGCGGGCUUCUCCGACUUCUCCGUCAAGUACUGCUACUCCGGCGAGGGGCUGGACUCGCUCUGCGACGUGGACACGGACGAGGACCUGCGGGACAUGCUGGACAUCUUGCUCUACCGGGACCUGCAGGCCCGGCUGUUCAACGACCAGAACAGGCGCCGGUUCCGGGUCUACCUGUUCCGCGACGCCGCCGCCCCGUCGCCGGCCUCCCAUGCCGUCCGAAAACCAGCUCCCAUGCGGCGUAGCGCGACGUCGCCGGCUCUGUUGCCGGCGAAGCCGGCCGACGUCGACGGGCGGCCAUCCCAGGGCCUGGCCGCUCCCGCUCCCUCUCUCGUGCCGCGGAUCACGAUGUCGCCGAAUCCGUUGUGCGAGACCUCGAUGGCUGGCACGAAGCCCUCCAAGCCGCCGCUCGCCCCUGCUCUCGCACGGCGGAUAGCGUCGUCGCCUUCGUUGACGGCGGACUCGACAGAUGACACGGCUUCUUUGAUCACCACCACGUCGACAUCAGCAGCCAGAGCUACCCAACAAACACCACCCCAUGCAGUGGCGUUCCGGCCGGUAGAGCAGAGUAAUCCGGUGUACCAUGCGGCUCCAGUAUUUUUGGUGCCAGUAACGCCACAUGUCAUAAUCCACCGGCCGACGAUCAUCUUCGUACCCGUGUUCAAUUCAAAGUGUUAA